GAUUCCCCUAGUAGCGGCGAGCGAACCGGGAAGAGCUCAAAUUUGUAAUCUGGCACCUUCGGUGCCCGAGUUGUAAUCUCUAGAAGUGUUUUCCGUGCCCCACCGCAUACAAGUCUGUUGGAAUACAGCGUCAUAGUGGUGAGAACCCCGUAGAUGAUGCGGAUGCCUGGUGCUCUGUGAUACACUUUCAAGAGUCGAGUUGUUUGGGAAUGCGGCUCAAAUUGGGUGGGAAAUUCCCUCUAAAGCUAAAUAUUGGCGAGAGACCGAUAGCGAACAAGUACCGUGAGGGAAAGAUGAAAAGCACUUUGGAAAGAGAGUUAACAGUACGUGAAAUUGUUGGAAGGGAAACGCUUGAAGUCAGACUUGCGCUUUGGAGUUCACCCUCACGGUGUAUUCUUCGAUUUGCAGGCCAGCAUCAGUUUUUGGGGGUAAAAAAGGGUUUUGAGAAUGUGGCAACUCCGGUUGUGUUAUAGCUCUUGACUGGAUUUAUCCCUGGGGACUGAGGAACGCAGUACACUUUUUGCAGUCUCUCGAGACUUUUUGUACUUAGGAUGCUGGUGGAAUGGCUUUAAACGACCCGUCUUGAAACACGGACCAAGGAGUCUAACAUGCUUGCGAGUGUUUGGGUGUCAAACCCGGACGCGCAAUGAAAGUGAAUGGAGGUGGGAAGCGCAAGCUGCACCAUCACCGAUCUGGAUUUUCUAAGAUGGAUUUGAGUA
rnacentral:rRNA from 1 species